GAUGAACGCUGGCGGCGUGCCUAAUACAUGCAAGUCGAGCGAACAGACGAGGAGCUUGCUCCUCUGACGUUAGCGGCGGACGGGUGAGUAACACGUGGAUAACCUACCUAUAAGACUGGGAUAACUUCGGGAAACCGGAGCUAAUACCGGAUAAUAUAUUGAACCGCAUGGUUCAAUAGUGAAAGACGGUUUUGCUGUCACUUAUAGAUGGAUCCGCGCCGCAUUAGCUAGUUGGUAAGGUAACGGCUUACCAAGGCAACGAUGCGUAGCCGACCUGAGAGGGUGAUCGGCCACACUGGAACUGGGACACGGUCCAGACUCCUACGGGAGGCAGCAGUAGGGAAUCUUCCGCAAUGGGCGAAAGCCUGACGGAGCAACGCCGCGUGAGUGAUGAAGGUCUUCGGAUCGUAAAACUCUGUUAUUAGGGACGAACAAAUGUGUACGUAACUAUGCACGUCUUGACGGUACCUAAUCAGAAAGCCACGGCUAACUACGUG
rnacentral:rRNA from 1 species